AGACUGGGGCUCAACCCCAGGGGUGCGUUGGAUACUGUGAGGCUAGACGGUCGGAGGGGGUAGCGGAAUUUCCGGAGUAGCGGUGAAAUGCGCAGAUACCGGAAGGAACGCCAAUAGCGAAGGCAGCUACCUGGACGACUUGUGACGCUGAGGCGCGAAAGCGUGGGGAGCAAACCGGAUUAGAUACCCGGGUAGUCCACGCCCUAAACCAUGAGUGCUGGGUGUCCGGCUUCUGCUGGGUGCCGUAGCUAACGCGCUAAGCACUCCGCCUGGGAAGUACGCACGCAAGUGUGAAACUCAAAGGAAUUGACGGGGGCCCGCACAAGCGGUGGAGCAUGUGGUUUAAUUCGAAGCGACGCGAAGAACCUUACCAGGCCUUGACAUGCCCGGAACCCCUCUGAAAGGAGGGGGUGCCCGCAAGGGAGCCGGGACACAGGUGCUGCAUGGCCGUCGUCAGCUCGUGUCGUGAGAUGUUGGGUUAAGUCCCGCAACGAGCGCAACCCCUAUCCCUAGUUGCCAGCAGUUCGGCUGGGCACUCUAUGGAGACUGCCUGCGAAAGCAGGAGGAAGGCGGGGAUGACGUCUGGUCCGCAUGGCCCUUACGGCCUGGGCGACACACGUGCUACAAUGCCAAGGACAGAGCGCUGCUACCUCGCGAGAGGACGCCAAUCGCAAAAACCUUGGCUCAGUUCGGAUUGGAGUCUGCAACUCGACUCCAUGAAGCCGGAAUC
rnacentral:rRNA from 1 species